CGGUAAUUCCAGCUCCAACAGUGUAUAUUAACACUGCUGCGGUUGAAACGCUCGUAGUUGGGAAUUUGUUGUAUGUUAUUGGUCUAUCCUAGUGGUCAGUACUGUAUAUGAAUGCAGCAUCGUCUUGAUUAUCUUUCUACACUUAACUGUGUAUUAUGUUGAAUCAAUCCGUAUACUUUGAAGAAAUGAGAGUGUUUCAAGCAACUUUAUUCAAGGAUAUAUUAGCAUGGAAUAACACAUUACGACCUCAUAUUGUGUCUGUUGGUUGUCGAAAUCGGGUAACAAGGAGGGGGACAAUUGGUGGUAUGUAUAUUGCACAGUCAGAGGUGAAAUUCUUGGAUUUUUGCAAGAUGAUCGAUUGCGAAAGCAUUUGUCAAGAGUGUUUUUAUUGAUCAAGAACGAAAGUUAAGGGAUCGAAGACGAUCAGAUACCGUUGUAGUCUUAACCGUAAACCAUGUCGCCUAGAAAUUGGCGGGUAUAUAUUAUCAUCCCGUCAGCAACUUGAGAGAAAUCACAGUUUUUGGAUUCCGGGGGGAGUAUGAUCACAAGAUUGAAACUUAAAGGAAUUGACGGAAAGGCACCACCAGGAGUGGAGCGUGCGGCUUAAUUCGACUCAACACUGGAAAAUUUAUCAGGUCCGAACAUAGAAACGAUUGACAGAUUGAUUGGCUUUUCUUCAUUCUGUGGGUGGUGGUGCAUGGCCGUUCUUAGUUGGUGGAGUGAUUUGUCUGGUUAAUUUCGAUAACGAUCGAGAUCUUGACCUGCUAAAUAGAUGCAAGAUGUAUAUAUAAUCGUGUGAACUUCUUAGAGGAAACAUUUGUGUAAAGCAGAAGGAAGAUUAAGGUAAUAACAGGUCUGUGAUGCCCUUAGAUGUCUUGAGCUGCACGCGCGCUACACUGAAGCACUUCACAAGGAAUUCAUCUGGUUUGAAAGGAGUGGGAAAUCUUAUCUCUGUGCAUCGUGAUGGGGCUUGUUUAUUGUAAUUAUUGAACAUUAACGAGGAAUCCCUAGUAAGUAUAUAUCAUCAAUCUGUUCUGAUUAAGUCCCUGCCCUUUGUACACACCGCCCGUCGCUCCUACCGAUCGAGUGAUCCGGUGAAUACUUAAGACAUUGAGAAGCAAUCGAAAGAUUACUCUCAUAGAAAUGCGAGUGAGUCUUAUCACUUAGAGGAAGGAGAAGUCGUAACAAGGUAGCCG
rnacentral:rRNA from 1 species